rnacentral:sRNA from 1 species
GAUAAUGUUAAGGACUUCUUUCAUCGUGCCAGAAACAACCAGUCUUUGUUUUCUAAAAUAAAUGAAGAGAAAAUAGUUUUUUUCUUACAUUUAUUAGGAAUAGAUACAAAUGGACAUGCUCAUCGACCAUCCUCGAGAGACUACAAGGACAAUAUUAAAAAAGUUGAUGAUGGAGUUAAAGAAAUCGUGUCUAUGUUUAACCAUUUCUAUGGAAAUGAUGGGAAAACAACAUUUAUCUUUACCUCUGACCAUGGAAUGACAGACUGGGGUUCCCAUGGGGCUGGUCAUCCUUCAGAGACUUUAACUCCUUUAGUCACUUGGGGAGCUGGAAUCAAGUAUCCCCAAAGAGUAUUAGCUCAGCAAUUUGAUGAUGCAUUUUUGAAAGAGUGGAGAUUGGAGAACUGGAAGAGGCUAGAUGUCAAUCAGGCUGAUAUUGCACCAUUGAUGACUUCCCUUAUUGGAGUUCCCUUUCCUCUUAACUCAGUGGGAAUCCUUCCUGUGGAUUAUCUUAACAACACUGAUCUCUUCAAAGCAGAGAGCAUGUUUACAAAUGCAGUACAGAUUCUUGAACAGUUCAAGGUGAAAAUGACUCAGAAAAAAGAAGUUACUUUACCAUUUUUGUUUACACCAUUUAAGAAGUCCAUUUGGUCUAUGGAAUAAAUGGUCCUCAAGUUCUGGCUGCAUUAGCAGCUAAAAACUUUAAUUUUUAUCCCUCCAGUCUUCCAAGAUUGCCAAAGACUCUUGGAUUCUCUACUUCCUGGCAGCAGUUAUAUC